AACGAACGCUGGCGGCGUGGAUAAGACAUGCAAGUCGAACGCUGAUUUCAGGGUAGCAAUAUUCUGGAGUCGGAGUGGCGCAAGGGUGCGUAACACGCGGGUAAUUUGCCGUGAAGCCCGGAAUAACUCGCUGAAAGGCGAGCUAAUACCGGAUGUGAUGUUUGGGAGGCAUCUCCUGAACCUUAAAGCUGGGGACCGCAAGGCCUGGCACUUUUCGAUAAGCCCGCGGCCAUCAGCUAGUUGGUGAGGUAACGGCUCACCAAGGCUAAGACGGGUAGCUGGUCUGAGAGGACGACCAGCCACACUGGAACUGAGACACGGUCCAGACACCUACGGGUGGCAGCAGUCGAGAAUUUUUCACAAUGGGCGAAAGCCUGAUGGAGCGACGCCGCGUGGGGGAUGAAUGGCUUCGGCCCGUAAACCCCUGUCA
rnacentral:rRNA from 1 species